rnacentral:rRNA from 1 species
AGUAACGCGUAGGUAACCUGCCUUGUAGCGGGGGAUAACUAUUGGAAACGAUAGCUAAUACCGCAUAACAAUGGAUGACACAUGUCAUUUAUUUGAAAGGGGCAAUUGCUCCACUACAAGAUGGACCUGCGUUGUAUUAGCUAGUAGGUGGGGUAACGGCUCACCUAGGCGACGAUCCCUAGCUGGUCUGAGAGGAUGACCAGCCACACUGGAACUGAGACACGGUCCAGACUCCUACGGGAGGCAGCAUG